CUCCUCUCUUUGACCUGAUUCCAAAUGAUUCUUAACCAGAGUCAGUUUUGUCCCCCAGGUGACAUUUGGCAAAGUCUGGAGACAUUUUUGCCUGUCACGACUCAGGGAGGAUGCUGCUGUGACUCUGUGGAUGGAGACCAAGGAUGCUGUUAAACAUCCUACAGUGAACAGCAUGACCUGCUUCCCCCCAAGACAAAAAAACGUCAACAGUGCUGAGGUUGAAAGACUUUAAUGUAAAUCACACUAUUUUUUGUGAUGGAGAGGAGUUGCGAUGAAGUUGAGGAAAGAAAGAAGGAAAGAUUUGGGGUCAGAAUGACACAAGUACAGUAUUUAUGGGGCAAGUGGUCAGAAUCCUGUUAGACAAACAGACCCGUGUUAUAAACAAAAUGGAUGAGCCUCUAGAACAUUUUGCUAAGAAGCCAGACCCAGGUAACAUGCUGUCUGAUCCCACGUAUAUGGAAUGCCCCAAAUUGGAUGAAAGCAGGUGAGGGGUUGCCGUGGGUGGGGAGGGGGAAUGGGUAGGGGCUGCUUUAGAUGUCU
rnacentral:lncRNA from 1 species